rnacentral:lncRNA from 1 species
GGGAGGCAAAGGAAGAAGAUAUUGCUUGAAGUAUCUAUCUCAUCUGAGUAUGCUUGCCUUGACAGAUUGAUGGGAGUGAAUUGCUUGAGAACUUCUGACUUGUGAUAAAAGGGAGAGGAACCUGCUCUUUAAGAAUCUCAAACAACUACAGGGAAAGUGUGACAACAAAGGUUGGUUUGUGCAGGAGCUGUCUGUGUCUGUCCAUAAUGAAUGGAGAAGGAAUGGCUUCAUCACCUGGAGAUUCCUCUUCUAAUCUAGAUGGGAUGACUUGCCACUGGAGGAGCAUGUACUUUGCUGUUCAUUUCAGAAGAAGUCCUGGCAGCAAGUCUCAGCCAUUGGCAGUAAUCGAUGUGCUUAAACCUUCAACAUUUAUCAGUUUGAAGCUCAAGUGCUUACAGUCACUAGUCAUGGGCCAGCCACACUGGAUACCUUUCAAAUGCAAGCAACUGAUGCUUCAAGCUAAUAAGGUUGGUUAUUCACCUGGGGCUCAGCCCUGCACAGGAAUUUCUCAUUUGACUGCUUAUGCGAGAGUUUACAUUUGUUUUAAAGACACUCAUACAGAAGAGGUUUAAGAGGUUUGGCUCUUCUGGC